rnacentral:rRNA from 1 species
GAUGAACGCUGGCGGCGUGCCUAAUACAUGCAAGUCGAGCGAACAGACGAGGAGCUUGCUCCUCUGACGUUAGCGGCGGACGGGUGAGUAACACGUGGAUAACCUACCUAUAAGACUGGGAUAACUUCGGGAAACCGGAGCUAAUACCGGAUAAUAUAUUGAACCGCAUGGUUCAAUAGUGAAAGACGGUUUUGCUGUCACUUAUAGAUGGAUCCGCGCCGCAUUAGCUAGUUGGUAAGGUAACGGCUUACCAAGGCAACGAUGCGUAGCCGACCUGAGAGGGUGAUCGGCCACACUGGAACUGAGACACGGUCCAGACUCCUACGGGAGGCAGCAGUAGGGAAUCUUCCGCAAUGGGCGAAAGCUUGACGGAGCAACGCCGCGUGAGUGAUGAAGGUCUUCGGAUCGUAAAACUCUGUUAUUAGGGAAGAACAAGUGUGUAAGUAACUAUGCACGUCUUGACGGUACCUAAUCAGAAAGCCACGGCUAACUACGUG